CUCUACUUCUGUUUUGUAAAUAAGUUCAUUGGUACCCUUUGUUUUUAGAUUCCACAUAUAAGCCUAAGUAGUCAUCUUAACACUCCAUAUGAGGUUAGAGUCUGUUUAAAGAAAAGUGAGUCAUCUCUUUAUGUAGCAUUUCAGAUGGCUGUAUCAUCUCGGAUGCCUGUGAAUACAGCUUUUGAAAUGGGAGCCACUCCCCUGCAGGCUGCCUGCUCCUGCGUCUGCAAGACCCCCUGAACGGAGUCUGUUUAAGUCUUCCCCAGCAAAAAGAUUACCACUCGCUGAAGUCUCAGAUGAUGGAUAGCAUUUUCGGCAAUGAAGUCUCUUUUAAUUAAGAGUCUGACAAGAUCAAAUCCAGAUGAAAACGGUUCUCCUCCAUUUCAUCUUCAGCGCUUGUUUUCAUCACUGAAAUUGGUUAUCA